ACAUAACAUUAAAUACCGAGAGAAGAGCACUUUGCAGUGUAGAGUAUUAAAAAAAUGAAAGCAAAGAGCUUCAGUUUUGAAACUGAUGCUAUAAAUCAAUUUGCCAAAUAGAAAAAAAAAAGAAAAAAAAAGAAAAAAAGAAAAAAAAAGAGGGGGUGUGGAGGAUUAAGCCUAACAAGCUUGAAGGGAAGUAAACAAGCACACUGUUUGCUGUUGGAAAUUGUUUUCCUGGUGUAAUGUGUGUUUUAGGUCACCAUGCCUGCAUAGGUAAUUACAACGAACUGCUCUUGUUAGCAGGAUACAUCUGAUAUGGAAUGUCACAGAUUCUCAUCACUCUUUCACUUUCAUGAAUGCCCUCAAGCACAAAGACUUGUAUUGUUCUUUAUGAAAGGAAUACAGCUCUGAUGUUGGGAACUUUGAAGAGCAAAAGGCUGGUGAAGUAUGUGGGGUUUAGACAGAUGCACAUAAACCAAAGACAGCCAUAACUAAUAAUCCAGCCCUUGAAAUUAACUUGACUACAGUAUGCCUCCUUCCUGCAGCACAUGGAAGCAUCAUGCCUAGGAGACAGCGCCAACAGAGAGAAAAAUAUCUGGGUUCUGCUGAGAAUUAUUUGGGAUACAUUUAUGGAUAAGUCUGGUUCCCAACUGCUGAAAGCUAGUACUGGAUGCUGGAUGGAGCACGGUGCCUUGGAUAUCUAUGUACACAGAACAGAGCAGGUUCCAUUGGAUAAAUUUAUUCAAAAUAACCCAGCAGCCUCAUGACUACAGCAACUUCUCUACAGGAAACCUGAACCUAUGUCCCUGCUUCAAACCAAGAGGAAUUGAAAACAGGUUUUCCAAAUCCCAGACAAACCCCCUAACUGCUAAACAUUAGGGAAAAAUCAAAUAAAAUCCUUGUUGAGAGGGCUUAUCA
rnacentral:lncRNA from 1 species